AGUGAACGCUGGCGGUAGGCCUAACACAUGCCAGUCGAACGGCAGCACAGUAAGAGCUUGCUCUUACGUGUGGCGAGUGGCGGACGGGUGAGGAAUACAUCGGAAUCUACUUUUUCGUGGGGGAUAACGUAGGGAAACUUACGCUAAUACCGCAUACGACCUACGGGUGAAAGCAGGGGAUCUUCGGACCUUGCGCGAUUGAAUGAGCCGAUGUCGGAUUAGCUAGUUGGCGGGGUAAAGGCCCACCAAGACGACGAUCCGUAGCUGGUCUGAGAGGAUGAUCAGCCACACUGGAAAUAAGAAACGGUACAGACUCCUACGGGAGGAAGCAGUGGGGAAUAUUGGACAAUGGGCGCAAGCCUGACCCAGCCAUAACGCGUGGGUGAAGAAGGCCUUCGGGUUGUAAAGCCCUUUUGUUGGGAAAGAAAAGCAGCAGGUUAAUACCCCGCUGUUCUGACGGUACCCAAAGAAUAAGCACCGGCUAACUUCGUG
rnacentral:rRNA from 1 species